CGGAGUAGGCGCGUGCCCCACUGUGUGUAGUCCGCCGCGACCGCGUGGUCCUCACCUAAUGUGACGUCGAGCGAGGGCGCGCCGGGCGAUCCCGACGGUCCUUUAAUGUGUUGACAGGUGUCGGGAGGCUUCUUGCGUGCCAUGCUCAAGCGGAUUUCGUUGCCUGGCGACUGACUUGAUGGUAAGUCGUCGAGUGUGCAGUCACACGCACGACGCCAGGCCAUGUCUAUCAUGGUACCCGAGGAGCUCCGGCGGACCUCAGCAAGUGGUCAGCCCGGGGGGAAACCCGAGACAGUCCCUGAUGCGCCAACGCACACUCGCUCUGGGGUGAGCCACCAGCUGCGUCCUUCGAUACCCAGGCCAGAGCCCUCGCGAGCCGGGGCUGAAGCGCGGGCUACACCCGACGGGCAGCACUCGGAGCCACGUCGCCUGGAUGGUGACGGCAGCGACAGCACACCCACCUGGCGGGCGGGGGCGGCCGACCACCAGCCGACAUCGGAGGCGGACGCGUCGAGCUGCGCCACGUGCCGCGUGUGUGAGCGGACAUUCCAGAGCCGCUACUUCGUCCUGGUGCACAUGCGACACCACCGCGCGAAACCGGCGCGCGCUGCGAGAGGAGACGGAUUCAGCCGUCGGUGGAUGCCCGGCCGUUCAUGAGGCGCUCGUGGCGUGCGAGAGCACCGCACUGUGCCGCGAAAAUCGCCCGACCAUUGAUCAUAGUGUUAUGAUUAGAUUCAACUGCGUUUGAACGAUGGAUCGGCGGAAGAAGAACUAUUGAGGGAGGCGUCUGUGGUCUUCACACGGUUCAGAGUUUCGUCAUCCUCAAUCGCACGACUCGGAAACCGUCUAUUUGGUCCAGGCUAGUGUUGCCAAGUUUACUUCGAGGCCAAUUGACGCAUUAGCAUAUGCUGAGAGGCGAUAAACAGGCGUGGGUCGCUGGAGCCAUAACAUAGCUGUCUUGUUUCCGCGAGGUUGCUGCCUUUAUGAAUGACAUUGAUGUCGAGCGUUGCAUUUCCGUUACAUUGUGGAAUGAUCCGUGCUGUAUGUGUUUAUCUUCGAUAAAUGUGCUUUCGUAAAUGUAUCUUCGAUAAAUGCCAUCGACUUCC